rnacentral:rRNA from 1 species
UACGGAGGGUGCGAGCGUUGUCCGGAAUCAUUGGGCGUAAAGGGCGCGUAGGUGGCCCGGUCAGUUCGUGGUGAAAGCGCGGGGCUCAACCCUGCGUCGGCCAUGAAUACUGCCGCGGCUGGAGCACUGUAGAGGCAGGCGGAAUUCCGGGUGUAGCGGUGGAAUGCGUAGAGAUCCGGAAGAACACCGGUGGCGAAGGCGGCCUGCUGGGCAGUUGCUGACACUGAGGCGCGAAAGCGUGGGGAGCGAACGGG